AGAGUUUGAUCAUGGCUCAGAACGAACGCUGGCGGCGUGCCUAACACAUGCAAGUCGAACGAGAAUUUUCCUUUCGGGGAAAUAGUAAAGUGGCGCAAGGGUGAGUAACACGUGAAUAAUCUGCCUACGAAUUCGGGAUAACGCGGGGAAACCUGUGCUAAUACCGGAUAAGACCACGUUUCUUAUGUGAUGUGGCCAAAGGAGUCUCAAGCUCCGUUUGUAGAUGAGUUCGCGGACCAUUAGCUUGUUGGAGGGAUAACAGCCCCCCAAGGCGACGAUGGUUAGCCGGCCUGAGAGGGUGAUCGGCCACACUGGAACUGAGACACGGUCCAGACUCCUACGGGAGGCAGCAGUGGGGAAUAUUGCGCAAUGGGCGAAAGCCUGACGCAGCAACGCCGCGUGAGGGAUGAAGGAUUUUGGUUCGUAAACCUCUGUCAAGUGGGAAGAAUACUGACGUACCACUAAAGAAGCCCCGGUAA
rnacentral:rRNA from 1 species